CAGAAGCGAACGAGCUCUCAUCCCUUUCAGGAUCGACGCCGUUCGCAGAGAGCCAUCGAUUUCAGCAUCCAUGGAGACUCUGCUUUCGAGCUUCGGCUGCCGUAAGAACUCAGGUCGAUUUCAGGUCCUCGAGCUAAAAUCACGCUCCUCGGAUGCUCUACUUCCGAUCCCCAGUCUGCAAAGUUCACUCAGUUUUUUUGAAAAAUUCCAGCUCGGAUUCCCGUUAGCUUUAUGCUCUGUCGAGUUUUAUGUCACCGCUUAAUGCUUCUGCGCGUUUCGACGUUAGUCCUGGAGGCAAUGCUUUUGAAGCUGGUUAUUUAGGUGAUGGCAAGCUUUCUUUCGACGCCCAAGGGGGCCUGGGGAACGAAAGUGUCCUAGGACAACGCGUCACUAUCAAUUCUAUCCAUUUGUCUUUGUACGUUAGAUUAUGUUCAUCAAAGCCGUGGGCAAGAGACAUAGUUCUGAUGUUAUGUUUCUCAUGUGCUACGUUGUUGAGCUUGCUGUCAUAGUCCCCAUGUUUCAGCUGUCAAGAUGUAUCUUAGAGGAACUUCAUUGUUGAGUCUGUUGAUGAAUACUAUCAGGUUAAAUUCUGUGAGAUUUUGUGGGAUUAUUACCAACUGUUUUAAAAAGUUAAGCUGUUGGAUGAAGGUAUAUUUUAAUUUUUAGAUAAUCUAUCAAUCUCCUCACACGUAGGCUGGACUUUUUGACCUAAGCCUAUAGCAUGAAAAUAUGUAAUUUUUUUUUCUGUAUAUGAAAAUAUAUGAUUGGGGAGGCACAUUAACGUGGUUUAAUAUUUAUAUUGUAUCAACUUCUACACUCUUCACUGUUCAGAGAUUGGCUAUAUAUACGUAGUUUUAAUUUUCUGGAUUUCCCAAGAACUCUUCACUUCAGAAUUGAUUUUUAUAGAAGUUUGCUUGUCAUUUUGUCUACAUGAUUUGGAAAGAAUGGAUGGCGUUCACGAGGAUGAGAUUGCAAGAACGCUGCCUUAGAUGAGACAAAAUUUGACUGGAUAAGAAGAGGAUUGAGAAGAAUCUAGAAGAAAACUUGUUGAAUAGCCACAUAACUGGUUAAAUCACAAGAGCACGAGGAAUCUUAGGAUCAAACGGCCGGAAGAAGGCAAGUCUAUUUCCCCACAUCAUACCUUUUUUUUUGGAAGGGACAACUAAUAAGUCCAUAUCUGUUAAGGUCUUUAGAUUUCUUAUUGUUGUGUAUAAUCAAUGUCCUAUGCAAGUUAUCUGUUAGCAGAACUUAGCUGAACUACUUCAUUGAUAAAAAGUUUUUAGUCUCUCUUUUUUCAAUUGACUCCACUUCAUUGCUUCAUUGAGGAGAUCUUGCGAUUUGUAGACACCACCCAGCUGCUCUGCUUCACCGUGAUGUAUUCUAUCCAAUCAAGAGCAGAAGAGUUUGGCACAAUUGUCACCUCACAGAAAUAUCUUGACUUCUUGGACAACACAACAAGAAUUGCUCAUUCUUAGAUGCAGUUGGUGAUAGCAUUUGUCGCCUUUUCAAAUAUGGACAUCAGUGAGAUGUCAACGAAUGUCUUUCUUUUUCAAGUACUGAAAUCAAAUCAAUCAAGCAUCAAUCUGAAGUAUGGAAGAUGAAUCAGGGCACGAAAGUCAUGCCCUCCUGCCCAUUAUGUGCUUCAUUCUUGCAAGUGUCUAAUAUAUGCCAAAUCAUUAAGUUCCUGGAAGUCAAUCAUGGAAUUUGGUGGAAUCAUGUUGAAGAUGUUCUCCUGAUACUGGAUGUGGCUGUACCCAUUUGCAUCAUCACCAGCUCCAGCGUUGCCAAUCAAAUCCUUGUUGCGUCCAUUUUUGUUUUGCUUCCUGCUGUCCUUAGUGCAAAUGUUAUGCUCAUUCUACUCAAAAGCUUUCCUUUUUAAUGUGUUGACACAAUUGCUUGUUGGAUACACAGUACUUGGAGAAUCUAUAUUAUCAGAACUUUCAUAAUAAACUGAGUUUAUAUUGUUACCAUUCCUACUGCCUUCAACACUUAUAUUAGAGAUGGCUUCCAUGGCGGGUGGAGCUUUCCCAGCCAGCAGGUAUGCUAUAAGUUGGCAAUCUUUGAACAGAUGAUCCAUGCUCAUAUGAGGAUUGAAGUAUGUGCAUGUAGGUUGUGCUGCCUCGGUCUGUAGUGAGUACCUCGGUGCUUCAGGUGAUUGUCUAUCUUGGUUUUGAACAUUCUUUUUAGGUACCUUUGUUUUUUGUCGCACUCUGCAUAGCACCCAAUCAUCCAGCUGCACCAACAAAAGGCAAUAUUUGUUUCACUCUUCUAAUGAUACGUGAUAGAAAAUAUAGUUGAACAUUAACUUCUUUGUUGGCCGAGCCAUAGAGUAGCAUGAUA